CUUUACUGACGCUAAAGCUCGAAGGUGCGGGUAUCGAACAGGAUUAGAUACCCUGGUAGUCCGCACGGUAAGCGAUGGAUGCCCGCUGUUUGCGAUAUACUGUGAGCGGCCAAGAGAAAUCGUUAAGCAUCCCACCUGGGGAGUACGCCGGCAACGGUGAAACUCAAAGGAAUUGACGGGGGCCCGCACAAGCGGAGGAACAUGUGGUUUAAUUCGAUGAUACGCGAGGAACCUUACCCGGGCUUGAACUGCAGGAGAAGGAUACAGAGAUGUUGACGCCCUUCGGGGCUCCUGUGGAGGUGCUGCAUGGUUGUCGUCAGCUCGUGCCGUGAGGUGUCGGCUUAAGUGCCAUAACGAGCGCAACCCUUUUCAUUAGUUGCCAUCAGGUCAUGCUGGGCACCCUGAUGAUACUGCCACCGUAAGGUGUGAGGAAGGUGGGGAUGACGUCAAAUCAGCACGGCCCUUACGUCCGGGGCUACACACGUGUUACAAUGGGUGGUACAGAGAGUCGGUCGUCUGCAAAUGCGAUCCAAUCCUUAAAGCCAUCCUCAGUUCGGAUUGGGGUCUGCAACCCGACCCCAUGAAGCUGGAUUCGCUAGUA
rnacentral:rRNA from 1 species